AGAGUGGCCCUUCGACGGGCUGUGCGGUCGGGAGGGAGGGGAGCGAGGCUCUGCCCUGGGAGGCGGUGCCUGUGAGCCAGGCCUUGUUGGCCUUCCUGGUUGCCGGGAGAGUCAGGUACCAAAUGGCCUUUACCAGAGUGCAGUCGGCUAUGUGCAGAUGACCACGUCCUGAUAACAAAAGAAGAGGCUAAACAAGCCUUAUUUGGCUAGCAUUCUAUCAUCUUUCAUUUUCUCCAGAGUUGUCAACAAAUGCAGAGGCCUUGUUUGAAACGCUCACCCUCCAGCCUGUGAGACAGCCUCCUGGAACAGCUGCAGCGUGCAGGCACGGCCGGCCGGGCUUCUAAUAGAGGAAAUGAAUUUAUAAUGGUGCCGUCUCUUCAUUUUCACCAAGCACAAAUUUCCCCUUAAAUACUUAAAAACAACACCCAGAGCUGGAUAUCCCUUAAAUUUCAAAUAAAUGAAAUCUUAAUCCA